AUUGAACGCUGGCGGCAUGCCUUACACAUGCAAGUCGAACGGUAACGCGGGGCAACCUGGCGACGAGUGGCGAACGGGUGAGUAAUGCAUCGGAACGUGCCCAGUAGUGGGGGAUAGCCCGGCGAAAGCCGGAUUAAUACCGCAUACGACCUACGGGUGAAAGGGGGGGAUCGCAAGACCUCUCGCUAUUGGAGCGGCCGAUGUCAGAUUAGGUAGUUGGUGGGGUAAAGGCCUACCAAGCCGACGAUCUGUAGCUGGUCUGAGAGGACGACCAGCCACACUGGGACUGAGACACGGCCCAGACUCCUACGGGAGGCAGCAGUGGGGAAUUUUGGACAAUGGGCGAAAGCCUGAUCCAGCCAUGCCGCGUGCGGGAAGAAGGCCUUCGAGUUGUAAACCGCUUUUGUCAGGGAAGAAAUCUUCUGGGUUAAUACCUCGGGAGGAUGACGGUACCUGAAGAAUAAGCACCGGCUAACUACGUGCCAGCAGCCGCGGUAAUAC
rnacentral:rRNA from 1 species